UCCUACGGGAGGCAGCAGUGGGGAAUUUUGGACAAUGGGCGAAAGCCUGAUCCAGCCAUGCCGCGUGAGUGAAGAAGGCCUUCGGGUUGUAAAGCUCUUUCGGACGGAAAGAAAUCGCGCGGGCUAAUAUCCCGCGUGGAUGACGGUACCGUAAGAAGAAGCACCGGCUAACUACGUGCCAGCAGCCGCGGUAAUACGUAGGGUGCGAGCGUUAAUCGGAAUUACUGGGCGUAAAGCGUGCGCAGGCGGUUUUGUAAGACAGGUGUGAAAUCCCCGGGCUUAACCUGGGAACUGCGCUUGUGACUGCAAGGCUAGAGUACGGCAGAGGGGGGUGGAAUUCCACGUGUAGCAGUGAAAUGCGUAGAGAUGUGGAGGAACACCGAUGGCGAAGGCAGCCCCCUGGGCCUGUACUGACGCUCAUGCACGAAAGCGUGGGGAGCAAACAGGAUUAGAUACCCUGGUAGUCCACGCCCUAAACGAUGUCAACUAGUUGUUCGUAGAGGUAACUCUGUGAGUAACGCAGCUAACGCGUGAAGUUGACCGCCUGGGGAGUACGGCCGCAAGGUUAAAACUCAAAGGAAUUGACGG
rnacentral:rRNA from 1 species